UUUAUUGGAGAGUUUGAUCCUGGCUCAGGAUGAACGCUGGCGGCGUGCCUAAUACAUGCAAGUCGAGCGAAUGGAUUAAGAGCUUGCUCUUAUGAAGUUAGCGGCGGACGGGUGAGUAACACGUGGGUAACCUGCCCAUAAGACUGGGAUAACUCCGGGAAACCGGGGCUAAUACCGGAUAACAUUUUGAACCGCAUGGUUCGAAAUUGAAAGGCGGCUUCGGCUGUCACUUAUGGAUGGACCCGCGUCGCAUUAGCUAGUUGGUGAGGUAACGGCUCACCAAGGCAACGAUGCGUAGCCGACCUGAGAGGGUGAUCGGCCACACUGGGACUGAGACACGGCCCAGACUCCUACGGGAGGCAGCAGUAGGGAAUCUUCCGCAAUGGACGAAAGUCUGACGGAGCAACGCCGCGUGAGUGAUGAAGGCUUUCGGGUCGUAAAACUCUGUUGUUAGGGAAGAACAAGUGCUAGUUGAAUAAGCUGGCACCUUGACGGUACCUAACCAGAAAGCCACGGCUAACUACGUGCCAGCAGCCGCGGUAAUACGUAGGUGGCAAGCGUUAUCCGGAAUUAUUGGGCGUAAAGCGCGCGCAGGUGGUUUCUUAAGUCUGAUGUGAAAGCCCACGGCUCAACCGUGGAGGGUCAUUGGAAACUGGGAGACUUGAGUGCAGAAGAGGAAAGUGGAAUUCCAUGUGUAGCGGUGAAAUGCGUAGAGAUAUGGAGGAACACCAGUGGCGAAGGCGACUUUCUGGUCUGUAACUGACACUGAGGCGCGAAAGCGUGGGGAGCAAACAGGAUUAGAU
rnacentral:rRNA from 1 species